rnacentral:rRNA from 1 species
AUUGAACGCUGGCGGCAGGCCUAACACAUGCAAGUCGAACGAGUGGCGGACGGGUGAGUAAUGUCUGGGAACCUGCCCGAUGGAGGGGGAUAACUACUGGAAACGGUAGCUAAUACCGCAUACCAUCGGAUGUGCCCAGAUGGGAUUAGCUUGUAGGUGAGGUAACGGCCCACCUAGGCGACGAGCCCUAGCUGGUCUGAGAGGUUGAUCAGCCACAAUGGAACUGAGACAUGGUGAAGACUCCUACGGCAGGCAGCAGUGGGGAAGAGGGCACAAGGGGCGCAAGCCUGCUGCAGCCAUGCGGCGGGGAGGAAGAAGGCCUUCGGGUUGUAAAGUACUUUAAGCGGUGAGGCGUUACCCGCAGAAGAAGCACCGGCUAACUCCUGGCCAGCAGCCGCGGUAAUAC